UCUACAGAUGAAUCAUUGCAGUGAAUAUAAGAGAGAACAUGAUGUGUGCCUAAUAUAUAAUGCUGAACUGUCAAAUGAUAUGGAUAUUUUAAAGUUUAAUAAUAAUAUAGAAAAAUUCACAUGAAAGCUCAAUUCACAUGAAUUUUACGUGAAUUUCAUGUGAAUGCUCAAUUCACGUGAAUUUCACAUGAAAGCUCAAUUAACGUGAAUUUCACGUGAAAGAUUUCACGUAAAUUUCACGUGAAAGCUCAAUUUACGUGAAUUUCACGUGAAAUAUUUCACGUUAAUUUCACGUGAAUCAGAUAUUUCACGUGAAAUUCACGUGAAUUAAGCUUUCACGUGAAAUUCACGUAAAUUUUUCACGUGAAAUUCACGUUAAAUAUUUCACGUGAAUUACGCGUAUAAGCUCGAUUAACGUGAAAUUCACGUGAAUUUUUUCACGUGAAAUUUACGUUAAUUUAACGUUAAUUUCACGUGAACAAAAUUUGCCUGUGUAAGACGAAGUUCUCGACCCCCUUCAACCGGGUCCUGCUGACGACGCCUGCCUCUACCUCUUGGUAUUGUUAUAAACUAUUAUAAUUAUAAAAACAAAUUUUAGAUACAUACAUCAAGUCUUAAAAGCCCAUUCAUAUUUCAAAAUAUAAAUUCAGUUUCUUAUUCAAUCAUUCAAUUUAGAUAAAUUAAAUACCACAUAUAAUCCACUAUGUUGUCUUAAAUAAACUUAAUACAUUUGAAUGCAUUU
rnacentral:lncRNA from 1 species